UCACAAGCUUGUGGGAAGUGGCAAAACAAAACACAAUAUGUGGAUAUGCAAAGGAGUGGAACAUAGUAGGACAAAAGAGGCCAAAUAAGGGUUGCACAAGACUGCACAAGUCAGAAGUCAGGAUUGUUGUAAAAGCUUUAUCUUUGUGCUUUUUUCCAAGUAUAGUAGCUGGAACUUAAAGAGCAUAUCAAUGAUGUCAUCUUUCUACAUAUUCGCAGCCUUACUUCUGGUGUUGCUGUUCGCUACCCCAAAAUUCUUACAAAAGAGAAAGAUUUGCUGUGGUAAUAGAAAGAGGGUUUAUCACAUUACAGAACUAAAGGAUUUCACUGCAAAAGCAAUGGUGAAAUAUCAAAAGACCCCCUAUCUACAUGAAAGACUUAGAGGCAAAUGCCAUGAAUCUAUGAACUAUUACACAACAGCAG